CAUGAACAUGAAGGGAUGUGUCUACUGUGAUAUGAGUGAUAUAACCUUGUGGCAAUCGAUGAGUUAACAUUUUCGUAGGAAUCUAUAUGUCGUGAGUUCCACAUUGUAUUCAGCAGAACUCUGACGACAUUCCAGAAAUGUCUCCGAUGGUGGAUAUUCACUUAAAGGAAUGUCUAAGUGAAUGUAGUUUCUACUGCAACUAUGAAUGAGGAAACCAAUUCUACACCUAUGUGAGCUAAUAAUUUUGUGUGUCUUCCAGUUGUAAAGAUCUUGUCAGUUCCAGUUCUUCAAUGAUUUAUUGAACUCUGCCCAACUUAUUUCUAGGACCAAAUAAUUACAGAAUUUUCAGAACUGAAAUGUGCAGUAGGUAUUUUAUAUUCUUCAUUAUAUAUGCCUAUAUGAAAAUGGACUUUCAUUAUACAUUUCAACAGAAAUAAAAUACUGGAAUAUUACAGAUUCUAAAUGGUUCUGAUGAUAGCAUAACACCUGAGAUUACUGGUUAAGGAACAUACCAUGACAACCAAACUUUGCUUCUAGUAGCCUGAGAUAUUCAGUAAGAGAAGCAGUAACACUCCUUUCAAUAACCCAAAAUCUUAAUUUAUCUUUUCUGUGUAGUGUGUAAUACCACCUGUUCAGUGUUAUUUAUAUCUCUGGAUUUUAGUUUUUGGGUGUGGUUUUGUCACAUUUGUUCGGGAUUAAAACAAUCCUGAAGAUGCAUAUAAAGAAUAUUAGAAUACUGCUCUAGUCAUCCCCAGAAAUAGUAGUAUAAAUUCCUGUUAUAGCGUCUUUUUCUCAGAAAAUACAACCCAUAAUACUUAAAUGAUGAAAAGUGAGUAACGAUUUUAUAAAUUUUAGCUGUCAGAACAUCAGUUAUUAUUUGAAGGCUGAUUAAGCAACUAUUCAUUAGUAUAUGUGAAUGGGUACUCAGCUGACAAUGGUUUUAUUUGAAUAAGCUUAGCAACCUAAAACUGUGAUGUUAAAAAUACAAAUACAUAAAUUUCAGACUUGAUAUUAUGUAACUAAGCAGUCUACAAAAAAAAAUGUCCGUCCAUUUUGAUAACAUUUAUUUGAAAACUGUCUAAUGGCCAUUUCUCUCUCUUAUGCCACAGAUAAAUGUGAUGCAUAGUAUACUUAUCUCUUUGCUACUUGAAUCCUGGAUUCAAAAUUAUAUUCUUGUGCUUUUCAUAUUCACAUUAAUGGGUAUAAAUUACAAAAUAUGUGCCUACCACCUCCAUACAUAAUUUAAAUUAUGUAUGACAGAACGUUUGAAGAUCAUCAUCAAUACUUUUCUGCUGUGAAACUACUGCUGCAUCAAAACACUGCUCAUCUCUAGAAGGCCAAGCUAAGAUGAUUCUUAUACACCACCGAUAACAUCAGCCUGUCAAAUAUGGCCCAUUACAGUGCUCUUCCCCCUCCUGUCCCUGUGCUUGCUUAAUUAAGGAUCAGGCCACGAUGAUAUAUAGGAAAGUGAAGGUAUAGUGCUACUGUUCUUGACCUCAGCACUAGAUGGAGGUGCAUCAAUAUGUACAUAUGUAUGUAGGUGUUGUCAAGCCAUAACUUUUAUACAAAGUGCAUACAGAAUUCCACAUCAAAGUAAUUGUGAAAUAUUACAAAUUCCUUUGAGAAAUUUUAACAGAUUUUUCUCAUUAAAGCUCAUUAUUAUUAUACCAUACUUCAUUACUUAUUCAACUAUGUUAACACAUCUGUAAGUAACUUAUCAAAAACAGUAUACUCCCAGUUAUAUGAGCUAAGAAGGGGGAAAGAUGCACAAAUAAGAAGAAAGAACACAGAUAACCCAAGUUUUGGGUAUGAUCAGGAGACUACAGCAACUGCUUUUAAUAUAUAAAUUAGAAAAUGUACAGAUAGAAUCUGAUUUGCAUAUUAUGUCAGAAAGCUCACAACAUACAGAGAAUGUGUUGAAUGUAAAAUAUGUGUUUCAUGUUUCCCUAAAACACUUGUGUGAAACAUUUUUCAUGCCAAUAAGUAUUUAGCGAGUUGCACUUGAUAUAAGCACAGAAAUGAAUAUAGGUCUUCAUGUAAAGUGGUUGUUAAAAUUGUCCAAUCUAAAUGAAAAUUUAAAUGAAUAAACAGUUUUUUAAAAAAUUCUUGAAUAUCAAAUUUCAUGAUAAUCCAUCCAUUUCACUGAAUUGAGCAAACUUAAUAGGCUCUCUGUAGGGUUGCAAAUGUACCUAAAAGGCAUAUGGGUAAGUCACAAACUGGAUAUUCAAAGGACUAU